rnacentral:rRNA from 1 species
AGCAGCCGCGGUAAUUCCAGCUCCAAUAGCGUAUAUUAAAGUUGUUGCAGUUAAAAAGCUCGUAGUUGAAUUUCGAGACCGGCUUACUGGUCGUGCUAUUGUACGUACUGGUAUUAUUGAUUCCUACCUUCUGAAGAACCACGAUGUCAUUAAUUUGGUGUCUUGGGGAAUCAGGACUGUUACUUUGAAAAAAU